AUUGAACGCUGGCGGCAUGCUUUACACAUGCAAGUCGAACGGGCUGAGGGGGCAACCCUUCAGUCAGUGGCGGACGGGUGAGUAAUGCAUCGGAACGUGUCCCGUAGUGGGGGAUAACCCGGCGAAAGCCGGACUAAUACCGCAUAUGCUCUACGGAGGAAAGCGGGGGACCUGAAAGGGCCUCGCGCUAUGGGAGCGGCCGAUGUCCGAUUAGCUUGUUGGUGGGGUAAUGGCCUACCAAGGCGACGAUCGGUAGCUGGUCUGAGAGGAUGAUCAGCCACACUGGGACUGAGACACGGCCCAGACUCCUACGGGAGGCAGCAGUGGGGAAUUUUGGACAAUGGGGCAACCCUGAUCCAGCCAUGCCGCGUGCGGGAAGAAGGCCU
rnacentral:rRNA from 1 species